CACGUAGGCACCAAGCGUUGUCCGGAUUUAUUGGGCGUAAAGAGCUCGUAGGCGGUUCGGUUAGUCGGGUGUGAAAACUUUGGGCUCAACCCAAAGCGUGCACUCGAUACUGCCGUGACUAGAGUUCGGUAGGGGAGUGGGGAAUUCCUAGUGUAGCGGUGAAAUGCGCAGAUAUUAGGAGGAACACCGGUGGCGAAGGCGGAUCUCUGGGCCGUAACUGACGCUGAGGAGCGAAAGCAUGGGGAGCGAACAGG
rnacentral:rRNA from 1 species